rnacentral:tRNA from 1 species
UCCGCGAUAGCUCAGUUGGUAGAGCGGGUGGCUGUUAACCACUAGGUCGCAGGUUCGAGUCCUGCUCGCGGAGCCA